GCGUCAGUAGUGUAACGAAUAGUGCACUCGCUCCAGGGAAGAGUGAGGUGCGGGUUCUAAUCCCGCCUGACGCA